AACGAACGCUGGCGGCAGGCUUAACACAUGCAAGUCGAGCGCCCCGCAAGGGGAGCGGCAGACGGGUGAGUAACGCGUGGGAAUCUACCCAUCUCUACGGAAUAACGCAUGGAAACGUGUGCUAAUACCGUAUACGUCCUUCGGGAGAAAGAUUUAUCGGAGAUGGAUGAGCCCGCGUUGGAUUAGGUAGUUGGGGGGGUAAAGGCCUACCAAGGCGACGAUCCAUAGCUGGUCUGAGAGGAUGAUCAGCCACACUGGGACUGAGACACGACCCAGACUCCUACGGGAGGCAGCAGUGGGGAAUAUUGGACAAUGGGCGCAAGCCUGAGCCAGCCAUGCCGCGUGAGUGAUGAAGGCCCUAGGGUUGUAAAGCUCUUUCACCGGUGAAGAUAAUGACGGUAACCGGAGAAGAAGCCCCGGCUAACUUCGUGCCAGCCGCCGCGGUAAGAC
rnacentral:rRNA from 1 species